GAGAAAGCUACUAAGAAAGUGAAAUUCGUGCGAGACGCUGAUCUUUUUUCUCGCCGGGAAAAAGGCUUUCCUGGUAUAAGAGUAUCCAUUUGUCGUGAAACAAUCUUGCCGGUUGAUGCUCUUGAACCUCUGGAUGAUGGCAGAAAUGGUACUGAUAACUCUCAGAAGGAUAAAAUGGAGUCUGCUUUUGUCCCAAGAGACUGCCUUGUGCCACGAAGGCCCAAUUUUGAUAGCAUUACUCCUGCAAGAUUAUCUUGCCAGUCAUCCUGGG
rnacentral:lncRNA from 1 species